CUCACAUGAUGAACAGACCUGAAG
rnacentral:miRNA from 1 species